GACGAACGCUGGCGGCGUGCUUAACACAUGCAAGUCGAACGGAAAGGCCCUGCUCUUGUGGGGUGCUCGAGUGGCGAACGGGUGAGUAACACGUGAGUAACCUGCCCCUGUCUUUGGGAUAACUUCAGGAAACUGGGGCUAAUACCGGAUAGGAGCUCCUGCUGCAUGGUGGGGGUUGGAAAGUUUCGGCGGUUGGGGAUGGACUCGCGGCUUAUCAGCUUGUUGGUGGGGUAGUGGCUUACCAAGGCUUUGACGGGUAGCCGGCCUGAGAGGGUGACCGGCCACAAGGGGACUGAGAUACGGCCCAGACUCCUACGGGAGGCAGCAGUGGAGAAUAUGGCACAGUGGGCGGAAGCCAGAUACAGCAACGCCGCGUGCGGGAUGACGGCCUUCGGGGUGUGAACCGCUUUCGCCUGAGACGAAGCGUGAGUGACGGUAAUGGGUAAAGAAGCACCGGCUAACUACGUG
rnacentral:rRNA from 1 species